UCCGACCUCAGAUCGGACGAGAUUACCCGCUGAAUUUAAGCAUAUAACUAAGCGGAGGAAAAGAAACUAACAAGGAUUUCCCCAGUAACGGCGAGUGAAGCGGAAAAAGCCCAGCACCGAAUCCCUCGGUGUGAUGCCGACGGGAACUGUGGUGUGUGGGACGCCACCAGUCGCAUCAGCGGGCGCCGAAGUCCUCCUGAUCGGGGCUUCACCCAUAGCGGGUGUAAGGCCUUUGCAGGUGCUUCGCUGUGCGGCCGCGAGCGUCCUAGGAGUCGGGUUGUUUGGGAAUGCAGCCCAAAGUGGGUGGUAAACUCCAUCU
rnacentral:rRNA from 1 species